rnacentral:rRNA from 1 species
CAAUAGCGUAUAUUAAAGUUGUUGCGGUUAAAAAGCUCGUAGUUGGAUUUCUGCUGAGAACGACCGGUCCGCCCUUUGGGUGUGUAUCUGGCUCUUUCUUGGCAUCUUCUUGGUGAACGUUGCUGCACUUGACUGUGUGGAGCGCUACCCAGGACUUUUACUUUGAGGAAAUUGGAGUGUUUCAAGCAGGCAUACGCCUUGAAUACAUUAGCAUGGAAUAAUAAGAUAGGACCUCGGUUCUAUUUUGUUGGUUUCUAGAGCUGAGGUAAUGAUUAAUAGGGACAGUUGGGGGUAUUCGUAUUGCAUUGUCAGAGGUGAAAUUCUUGGAUUUUUGCAAGACGAACGACUGCGAAAGCAUUUACCAAGGAUGUUUUCAUUAA